rnacentral:rRNA from 1 species
AAAAGUCGUAACAAGGUUUCCGUAGGUGAACCUGCGGAAGGAUCAUUACCGUUACUCUGUGUCUUGCACACACUGUAAACCACUGUGAACUGUUCCGAGCUUGUGGGGUGGUUCUUCUUUGCAGGAGAAUCUCAAAUGCAGUUAGACAGCCGAGGCUGGCUGCUGCGGCCCCACAUGUCUGUCUCUUAUGUUUUUCAAAACACUCGUCAAUUCAUUCCAGUUGAAUAGUAUCACUCUGGCCAGUCCAGUUUGAUACACAGUUUAAACACAUGACAACUUCUAACGGUGGAUCUCUUGGCUCGUGCAUCGAUGAAGAACGUAGCCAGUUGCGAUAAGUAGUGUGAAUUGCAGAAUUCAGUGAAUCAUCGAAUCUUUGAACGCAAAUUGCGCUCUCUGGAUAUCCAGGGAGCAUGCCUGUCUGAGUGUCGUGAUAAAAACUACACACCCCUGGUGUGGCAUGUGGGUAUCGAGUUUGCAGAUUGCUCAGGCGUUCUGUACUAAACUCGUCCUGCGAAGUGCGUGAACCUGAAUGUGCUGCUGACUGCAUGUGCAUUGGGAAGGCUCAACUUGCUUCUGUCUUUCCCUCUGCGUUCUCAUGCCAGCAGUAUCAUUGUAGAUGGUGAACAAGACGGUGUCCCACCCAUGGGGCGGGCACGAUGUCAAUUUCUGAUUUUGACCUCAGAUCAGACAAGACUACCCGCUGAAUUUAAGCAUAUCA